UGUGUAUCAACGUCACUGCGAUAACGAGAAUUGUACUAAUUGAUGCAGAAACAACGAAAGUUAUGCACUUAAGUAAUCGUCUGACAUCCACAUCUACAACACCCGAAACAAACUUACAUUUGGAACGCGUCGAGAGAAACUGGGAUAAGCAGACAUUCGGCUGCCAUAUUGUCAACGACUGGAAUAGUUUGCCUGCGGAACAUUGGGAAAUAGAACAAUUUGCAUAAUCGGAAAUUGAACCUAACAGAAACGUUUGACACUAUAGCUAUAUAAGACACUCUGCUGAAGUGAUGGGACGCGAUAUGACAUGCCAUAGGUUUAACAUUACAGUAACUU